CCCUUAGAUGUCCUGGGCCGCACGCGCGUUACACCGAUGCAUUCAACGAGCUUAUAGCCUUGGCCGAGAGGCCUGGGCAAUCUUGUUAACGUGCAUCGUGAUAGGGAUAGAUUAUUGAAAUUAUUAAUCUUGAACGAGGAAUUCCUAGUAAACGCAGAUCAUCAAUCUGCAUUGAUUACGUCCCUGCCCUUUGUACACACCGCCCGUCGCACCUACCGAUUGGAUGGUCCGGUGAAGCCUCGGGAUUGUGGUUCUUGCCGCUUUAUUGUGGCGUGACCGCGAGAACUUGUCUAAACCUUAUCAUCUAGAGGAAGGUGAAGUCGUAACA
rnacentral:rRNA from 1 species